rnacentral:rRNA from 1 species
AUGGGGGGACCACCCUCCAACCCUAAAUACUACCCAGUGACCGAUAGCGUAUAGUACUGUGAAGGAAAGGUGAAAAGGACCCCGGGAGGGGAGUGAAAGAGAACCUGAAACCUUGUGCCUACAAGCACAUAGAGCCCGUCAAAGGGUGAUAUGGUACUUUUUGUAGAACGGUCCGGCGAGCGAUUGUACGUUGCGAGCUUAAGGUCUUAAGGACUGGAGGCGUAGCGAGAGCGAGUCUAAACAGGGCGUUUAGUAGCGUGCAAUGGGCCCGAAACCGGGUGACCUACCCAUGAUCAGGCUGAAGUGAAAGUAAAAUUUCAUGGAGGGCCGAACCGACCUCCGUUGAAAAGGCGGCGGAUGAAUUGUGGGUAGCGGAGAAAUUCCAAUCGAACUCGGAGAUAGCUGGUUCUCCCCGAAAUAGCUUUAGGGCUAGCCUCAUGUUAGAUAUCCGGAGGUAAAGCACUGAAUGGCCUAGCGUCCGAGAGGAUAGCGAAGCCUAUCAAACUAAGAAUGCCGGAAUAUUGAUGCAUGGGAGUCAGACAGUGUGAGAUAAAUCUCAUUGUCAAAAGGGAAACAGCCCAGAUCUACAGCUAAGGUCCCAAAUUGUAUCUAAGUGGAAAACGAUGUGGAAAUACGCAGACAACCAGGAUGUUGGCUCAGAAGCAGCCACUCAUUUAAAGAGUGCGUAAUAGCUCACUGGUCGAGCGUCUCUGCGCGGAAAAUUUAACGGGGCUAAGAUACAAACCGAAGCUUAGGCUGCAUACGGAAGUAUGCGGGGUAGGGGAGCGUUGUGUAAGCGGAGAAACAGUAGCGGAAGCGGCUGUGGAGUUUACAGAAGUGAGAAUGCCGGAAUGAGUAGCGCGAAUGAUGUGAGAAUCAUCAUGGCCGGAAACCUCAGGUUUUUGGAGGAAGGUUCGUCCGCUCCAAGUUAGGCGGGAGCUAAGGUGAGGCCGAAAGGCGUAGCCGAUGCACAGACGGUAGAGAUUCCGUCCCCACCGAAAGAUUUAAGCGCAGGGACACUUUUAGAAGGUCGGAGCCAGGUGUUGGUUCUGGUAGAGAUCGAGGGAAGAUUAGUACCGAAGUCCGGCUGGAUAAGAGGCGAGAAAAGCUGCGUGUAUAUCUAAGGUGCCCGUACCGCAAACCGACACAGGUAGGUAGGAAGAAGAUUCUAAGGCCAACGGGAGAAGGGUUGUUAAGGAACUCGGCAAGUUGACCCCGUAACUUCGGAAUAAGGGGUGCUCAUGAAAGUGAGCCGCAGAGAAUAGGCCCAGGCAACUGUUUACCAAAAACACAGGUUUGUGCUAAAUCGAAAGAUGACGUAUACGAGCUGACGCCUGCCCGGUGCUGGAAGGUUAAAAGGAGAUGUGCAAGCAUUGAAUUGAAGCCCCAGUGAACGGCGGCCGUAACUAUAACGGUCCUAAGGUAGCGAAAUUCCUUGUCAGGUAAGUUCUGACCCGCAUGAAAGGCGUAAUGAUCUGGGCACUGUCUCAACAGCCCGCCCGGCGAAAUUGUAGUACCGGUGAAGAUGCCGGUUACCCGCGACAAGACGGAAAGACCCCAUGGAGCUUUACUGUAGCCUAAUAUUGGGUUUCGGUGUUGCAUGCACAGGAUAGAUGGGACGCUAGGAAGUGAGUGCUUUGGCAUUCAUGGAGCGGCCGUUGGGAUACCAUCCUUGCGACAUUGGAAUUCUAACCUGCGCCUUUGAAUCAAGGCGGGGGACAUUGUUAGGUGGGCAGUUUGACUGGGGCGGUCGCCUCCUAAAGAGUAGCGGAGGCGUUCAAAGGUUGGCUCGUCCUGGACGGAAACCAGGAGAGAGAGUGCAAACGCAAAAGCCAGCCUGACUGCGAGACUGACGGGUCGAGCAGAGACGAAAGUCGGAGUUAGUGAUCCGGUGGUAUGUGAGUGGAAAUGCCAUCGCUCAACGGAUAAAAGUUACCCUGGGGAUAACAGGCUGAUCUCCCCCAAGAGUCCACAUCGACGGGGAGGUUUGGCACCUCGAUGUCGGCUCAUCGCAUCCUGGGGCUGUAUUCGGUCCCAAGGGUUUGGCUGUUCGCCAAUUAAAGCGGUACGCGAGCUGGGUUCAGAACGUCGUGAGACAGUUCGGUCCCUAUCUGUCGUGGGCGCAGGAUAUUUG